rnacentral:rRNA from 2 species
UACCCUAAACGGUGGAUCACUUGGCUCGUGGGUCGAUGAAGAACGCAGCUAAUUGCGCGUCAACUUGUGAACUGCAGGACACUUGAUCAUCGCAUUUCGAACGC